CAGAGCUUGGUCUACGGAGUGUUACGAACGAGGAAGACAAAGUAAGAGCGAGGAAGAUGAUCAUAGUGAGCUUGUGGUGCAUACAAACUGAUCCUUCAAACCGGCCAGCGAUGAAGGAAGUGAUAGAUAUGUUGGAAGGGAGUGUUGAUUCGUUGCAGAUACCACCCAAGCCUUACUUGUCUUCUCCUCCAAAAUCCCAGGCAGAUUCUUCUACUACAUUGGUAUCAAUACAAUAGAAACCCUGUAUUUUACUUGAACGAAUAUGUGCUUUCUGAGGCAAUCUAAAUAAUGAAGUAUGCAUUUCAUUUUUGUUUUUUUUGUUUUUUUCUGUAUAUGAAUGAAUCAACACAGUAGGAGUGUCACUCCUACUACCGCUCCGGCAAUCAUAUAUAUAUUCAACACAAAAUGUGUGAAACAUGUAAGAAUAUUUUAAUGACAUGCAUGCAUAUGAUAUGUAGGAUUCAAUGUAAGAAUAUUGUAAUAUUCUUAAGUAUUCCGCAUGACAUGUAUAUGAUAUUUAAUAAGGAAAACUAAUGAAAAGAGCUUGAAAACUUUGAGUUUUAAUGAUAAGGACAAAAUAAAGGGUAAAGUGAAUAGUACUAUGAUUGACUUUUUAGUGUAAAAAUGUGGUUUUCGUUAAAGUGAACAGUAGCAAGUGUUUUUCGUUAAAGUUCCCUAUUUAAUAUUCUAAAAUGGUCCACAUGACACGUAUAUGAUAAUAAUCCCACUGGUCAAAUUAUGAGAAAUGUUUCCUAUUGAAUUUUUGUGAUGGAUGGUAAUUGAUUAUGUACUUUGAAUGGAAACGGGUCCUCUCUCUCUCUGCCUCACUUAUAUAUAUUGCAUAAACCCAUCUAAUAUGCAUUUGAUAGUCGAAAAACACGAUUAAGGUUUUUACGUGCAAAUAGAGGCAAGAGAGAGCACCUAUUUCCUCCGCCGCUGACAGAAUAGAAUCUGAUUGGGGAUCUCAUAGCGUUCGUUGUCAUGGAUCAAGGUACGCUUGGUUGAUUAAUGUAUUUUUCCGCAUUUUAUUUGCAUGUGAAAAUCAUGAAGUUCGAUGAUCUUAGCUUAAUUGAUUUAUAAUUUACAUGUGGUAUCAGAGCCUAGUUGAGAGCUCUCAUGAUUUUCCAUUUACGAUUAUGAACUUUAAUUGAAUCGACUUGAUCAAGGUUUUGCUUCGAAAUAAAUUAUGAUCCGAUGUGCUAUUUUGAAAUAACCUAAUCGCUGUUUUGAAUUGUGAAUGUUCUUUAUAUAUUGUAAUUGCACUCAGAAAUAAUAUUUUCCUUAUGGUGCUGUUGCUUAUUAUCAAUUGUGAUAUUUGAUCAUUACGAUUAUAAACGUCAUUCAUUUAAUUUGUAAUUCGUCUUACGAAAUUGUUUGUUAGUCACCAAAGUGGCCAAACUAGAAAGAUCACAUGGAUUCAAAUUAAAUGAUGAUUAAUCAAUUACUCAUGGAAGGAUGAUGCAUAUGAACGAACAAAAUCUUAUUAUGUUUUAAGGGGGCGUUUGUUGCGCCGAACUAUCUCGGACUAGACUAGCUUCAAUGACUAAGCCGGACUGGCUUAGACUAGACAAAGCUGGACUAAUAUAGUAAAGCGUUUGGUGCAGUUUUGGACUAAGAAGUUGGAUAAUGACAAUAUUUUAUUAUGAUCUAGGUGACCGGAGAUGACGAGAAGUUUAUCGGGAGUGGUUGUUGAGCAUGACGAGGACGAGAGAUGAUAGUCUUAGCUAGUCCCAUGGUUAUUGGGGGGUCUUGCUAAGACCUCUUAGAGAAGGGUUUUGUCCAUGCUAGUCCCCUUUAGUCUCAUUUGUCCAUGCUAGUCCCCUUUAGUCUCAUUAAUGUUAGUCCCAGUAUGGAACAAACGCAGUAUUAGACUAACAGCUAGUCCAGUCCAGUCCAGUCCAGUCCCACUUAGUGAGGGCAAACAAACGCCCCCUAAAGGUUUGUACAUGAGUAAUAUGAUUUUCAUUUGUCAUAAGUUCUUAAGGGUCACCAAAAGGUUGACUAAUUGCUCAUAUGAUUGAUAAUAUGAAUGUGGUGAGAAUUGUACAUUUCAUUUUAUUGGUUUCGGAUAUCCAAAGAUAACGAAACCUGUCUUGUUAGAGAUGUACAAUUAUCAAUAAGGUAUUAUGCAUGGAUGAUUGUUUGUAUUGUUGUAGUAUCUACCCAAAGGAGAAUAUGAUAAUACACUUAUUGUUAUUACACGUGUUUUUAUAUUACUCAAAGCAUUAAUGUUGUGAGCACUUUUGAAUUGAAGUGUCAGUGCCUAUUUCUCUUCAUUCACUUGCUUCAUCUAUUCUCUCACUUAAUGGAACAAAUUUCUCAGAUUGGAGUGAGCAAGUUCAGUUUCACCUUGGUGUCCUAAAUCUUGAUUUAGCACUCCGAACUAAUAAACCUGUUGCUCUUACGAAUACAAGCAGCAUUGAGGAAAAAUCUCUCUAUAAUGCCUGGGAGAGAUCGAAUAGAUUGAGCAUAAUGUUUAUGCGAAUGACUGUAGUGAGCAACAUAAAGACUGGCCUUCCUCAAGCUGAAACUGCUAAGGAAUACUUGAAAAAUAUUGAGACUCGUUUCAAGACUGCUGACAAGUCUCUUGCUGGGACAUUAAUGGCUGAGCUUACCACCAAGAAAUUUGAUGGUAUGCGAAGUAUGCAUGAGCAUGUCCUUGAAAUGACUAAUAUAGCAGCAAAGCUAAAGACUCUUGGAAUGAAUGUGGAUGACUAUUUUCUUGUUCAAUUUAUUUUGAACCCCUUGCCUCCUCAGCAUGGGCCAUUUCAAAUCAACUAUGGUGCUAUUAAGGACAAAUGGAAUGUUGAUGAAUUGGCCGCUAAACUUGUUCAAGAGGAGGGAAAGCUUAAGCAGCAAGGAGAGCAUUCUGUUCAUUUAGUAAGGCAAGGAGCUGAAAGAAAAUUUGGAAGAAAGCCUAGAAAGGGAAAGAAAAUAGGACCACCCAAGGUGAAUGGACUUGCUAUGCUACUCAGGCUCAUGAUAAGGAACAGAAAAGUGAUUUAUGUCACUUCUGUAGGAAGCCUGGGCAUUAUCAAAGGAAUUGUCAAAAAUUCAAAGAAUGGUUCGAAAAGAAAGGUGAGCCUUUGGCUUAUGUAAGUUUCGAACCAUAUUUAACUGAAAGUUCCUUAUAAUACUUGGUGGGUUGACUCUGGUGCUACGACUCCUAUUUCAAAUUCGAUGAAGGGAUUCCUUACGACCCAAACUUUAAAUCCAUAAAAUUUCAUUUUCAUGGGGAAUCGAGUCAAAGCUCUAGUUGAAGCUAUUGGAACCUUUCGUUUAAUUUUGGAUACUAGAUAUUGUUUGGAUUUAUUUCAGACACUUUAUGUUCCUAGUUGUUCCAGAAAUUUGGUUUCAGUUUUGAAGCUUGACCAUAAUGGUUUUUUUUUAUUUUUAUAAAGUUUGGUAAUGAAUGUUUCAGUUUAUAUAAGAAUACCUCUUUUGUUGGUUCUGGUAUUCUAAUAGGUGAGCUGUAUAAUUUAAAGCUCAAUAAUCGUUUUGCUAAAACACUUUUGAUCUUGCAUCAUAAUGUUGGAACUAAGCGUUGCCUAAAUAAUGAAAAUUCUUCAUUCUUGUGGCAUAAAUGACUGGGUCAUAUAUCCAGAGAAAGGUUAGAAAGAUUAGUAAAGAAUGAGAUUCAUAUGCAAUUUAAGGUGAUUUCAUUCAUGUGUAAUCAAGUUCUGUUUUUAAUUUUUUCUUCUUUUGAUAUGUGAAUGUUGAUUGUCAAAGAACUAAAGGUUGCUAGGUUGGUGAAAAUCUGAAAAUUGACCCAAUUUUGUAUAAUAUAUUAGUUUAAGAACAAUAAACAUACAAGCCCACACACACACACACACACAUAUGCACUCCAAAAGUAAACGAGUUGGAAAUGUUUCGUAAUAUUUUCCUCUGAAUCUUCUUUAGCAUGCAUAAGAUUUACCAUUUCCUUUUAAAUAACUUUUAAAAUCAGCUCUAGUCCAUGUUUGCUUAACAAUGUUGUAUCAUUAUAUAAUUUCACAAAGUUUGUGCAUAAUUCUUGCUGAACUUGGUUUGCUUUUCUUUAAUUUAGGUAUGGAGUGAGCAAAUCACGGUUCGACCAAGUCUUCAACGAUGAAUUGAGUCAGAUCAUUAAGGUCUCUCUACGUUUGUUAUAUUUGUUUGGUUUUUUAUUUCUAUAGUUAUAGAUAUUGUUAGUAUGCAUUUGGUUUGGCUUGAUUGGGGUAUAGGAUGAAUUUAAAUAGUACUGAUUUUUAUUAUUUUUUCCCCCUCCAGCUACCAGUUUGUUGUUUGGCACUGUAAAUGUACAAUCGGAAAAAAAACUAGGGUCAACAACGUGCUUCAACUGUGCUUGCAUUGGCAUUUGUAAUCCUCAAUACUUGACUCAAACUUAGAUCAUGAAGAUAAUGAAGUUGCAUAAUCUUUUAUUCAGUUUUCAAUCCCGCAAUAACGUGCGGGCACAAGUUUCUAGUAUUGUCUGGGUUGGGUAGGCUCAAUAUGGGCCUCUAAAACGGGUCAUGUAGCGGUCCAGUUUAGCCGGUUUACUUUUUCAAUUUUUUGUUUGGGAUGAGUAGCCCAGCUUACUUUCUAAAUAACAAAAAAACCCAAUGUACUAUUUAUUUAAAGUAAAAUAGAAAAAGAUUUUAGGAAGAAAUUUAAAUGGAGCCGUGCCCUCUACAUACUUAUUUUUACUUCUCACACGAUCAUGUUUACUACUUAACCAUCAAAACCGGUAGAGAAAAUGGCAGUCACAAACGACCAAAUUCGUCAUGACGUUUUACUAAAUUAAAUUCUAACGUUAGUACUGUUACUAGGAGAUGCUUUUCAGCUAUGAAGCUGUUCAGUGCUCAGACAAAUUAGACUCGCAAGCAAGACGGAACGGAACAUGUUUCACUGCGCGACGAGAGAACACUGAACACUCAAUCGUUUCCGUAAUCUGUGUGGUUCAGAGGAGUUGCAAGGAUUUUUUAAUGUUAUCUUUGAAGAGUCAAGGGGUCAAAGUCUUUCUGAUGCUUGUCAGUGGGGAAGUUGAGAAGGAAACUCCCCUAAUAGGCCAUGCAAGUCUUUUAAGUCGAGCAACAUUUACAUGGUUAGUUCCCACAAGUCUUCCAGUCUCCCAAAUUCCAAGUCAACAGGGGUGCUAAUACAUUGCAAACAAAGAAUUCUGAACCUCUAAACAAUUCAACACUUGUUCUGAAGAGGAGGAGUAGAUUUUCUUAUUGUUCUUCCUUUGCGGCGCUUUCUUCUUGUUGAUCAGCUCGGAAUUUUCGGAUGGCUCCGGUGGCUUUGUUUAUUCUCGCCAUUCUUGCUCACCUUGUGGUUCUGCACUCUGCUGAAGCCAUACAUUGUCCAGUCCAGUUCUGCAGCUCAGCAGGCAACAUCAGCUUCCCCUUCAAAAGCAUGGGAUAUCCUCCUGAAUGCGGAUUGUUCACAGUUGAUUGUUCAGAACCCGAUCGGCCAAAAAUCCAAUUGGAAGAGGGAGGAUACUGGCAUGAAUUUGGAGGCUCUUUAUUAUCAACUUCGAUUUGGAUCGAAGAUAGAGACCUUGCCGACCGCUUAGAAAAGGAUCGCUGCAACGACGGACUUUUCGACGACUUGAGUCUUCCCAGGGCUUCUCCAAUCCCUGAAGUAUCAUUAUCCACACCCAAUCUUACCCUUUUCAAAUGCAACACCACCUUAGACAAAAAUUCUUAUCCACAACUUAUUUAUGGCUGCGGAAAUGCUAACCAUACUUAUUAUAUCAAUUCAUCUAACGGUAAUUUACCUAACCCUCUGCCACCAAGGUGUCAAACCAUUCAGGUCCCCAUGCGUCCGUCUCAACCGACCAUGUCCUCUUCAUUGACAGCUGAGUUUUAUCUCCAGGUGUCAGCACAAGAAUGUUUUCAAUGCAUUGAAAGCAAAGGUGAAUGCCUGGUUCUCGAGGGAAAAUUUAAAUGCGCCAAGGGUAUAUACAUUUACAUGACCUUUCUUUCUUUCUUUCUCUGACGUGCGAUAAUCCGAUUCCUUUCUUCAAAGGAUAUAACUCUGAGAAACAGCAAACAGUUUAUUGAAACACACAAGUAUUAAAUGAUUGUUAUGUAUGCAUUAGCCUCCUUUGUUUUGAAUGGUAACAUUAUUUAUGCCACUUUCAUCUUCUGUGAUUUAGCUAACAGCAGUUUUCUUUGCAAUUUAUGUUGCAGGAGAUAAGCAGUUUGAAAUUGAAGCUAGGACUAGGUAAGAUUGAUAUCUCUACAUUUAAAUAUCUAAUUGGUAUGCAUACUCAUCUAGGACAAGUGCUAGAACCAAAGGACGGAAAUCAAUCAUUCCCCAAUCCCUCUGGAUUAAUUUUCUAAGAAUCACGGAAUGAGCAAGCAUUUAAACACGUUGGCAAGGUCCAUUGAUUGCUCUGCAUAACAAACCUUCAAUCAAAUUUAACUCGCCUUUAACAGUUGGUGCAGCUUCUGUUAUCGUCGUUCUAGUUGUUGUCUGCUGUUUCUUUUGGAAGAAGCGUAUCCAAAAACAUCAAAUUGUUGAGGCCUUUCUAAGGAGCUAUGGGCCGCUUCAAGUUCAAAGGCAUAGCUAUUCGGAGGUCAAGAAAAUGACCAACUCCUUCAAAGAAAAAUUAGGACAAGGAGGCUAUGGUGCUGUUUAUAAAGGAAAGUUAAAGGACGGCCGUCUUGUAGCAGUGAAGGUCUUGACCAAACUUAAAGGAGAUGGAGAAGAAUUUAUGAAUGAAGUGGCAGCCAUUAGUCGAACUUCCCAUGUCAACAUCGUCUCCUUGUUGGGCUACUGUUUUGAGCAUUCUAAGAGGGCUCUGAUCUAUGAAUUCAUGCCUAAUGGAUCGCUCGAGAAGUUCAUAUUUAAUGCAAGUACUCCCAAGAAUGAUCAUCAUCACUUGGGAUGGGAACCUCUAUAUCAAAUUUCACUCGGUAUUGCUCAAGGAUUGGAGUACUUACAUCGUGGUUGCAACACACGAAUUUUGCAUUUCGACAUCAAGCCUCAUAACAUUCUUCUUGACGAAAACUUCAGCCCAAAAAUCUCAGAUUUUGGCCUUGCCAAAAUAUGCAACAGGAAAGAGAGUAUUGUGUCGAUGUUGGGAGCUAGAGGUACAGCAGGUUACAUUGCUCCAGAAGUAUUUUGUAGAAACUUUGGAGGGGUCUCACACAAGUCUGAUGUGUACAGCUACGGAAUGAUGCUUUCGGAAAUCGUUGGUGGAAGAAGGAACAUCGACGUUGAAGCUGAAAAUACAAGUGAAAUAUAUUUUCCGCAUUGGAUUUACAAGCGCCUUGAAUUGGAUGAAGAGCUUGGUGUGCAGAAUGUUAUGAACGAGGAAGACAAAGUAAGAGCAAGGAAGAUGAUCAUAGUGAGCUUGUGGUGCAUCCAAACUGAUCCUUCAAACCGGCCAGCGAUGAGGGAAGUGAUAGAUAUGUUGGAAGGGAGUGUUGACUCGUUGCAGAUACCACCCAAGCCUUACUUGUCUUCUCCUCCAAAAUCCCCGUUAGAUUCUUCUACUACAUUGAUAUCAAUACAGUAGAAACCCUGUAUUUUACUUGAACAAAUAUAUGUUUUUCUGAGGCAAUCUAAAUAAUGAAGUAUGUAUUUCAUUUUUGUUUUGUUUAUUUCUGUACAUGAAUCAAUGAAUCAACACAGUAGGAGUGACCCUCUUACUACCACUCCUGCAAUCAUUAUAUGUUCAACACAGUUACAAACGCUUUAAUCAAUCCAAUUUGGGAAAACUCAAAGAUGGCCGGGAAGUUGCAGUCAAGUUCUUAUACAAACACAAUUACAAACGCAGUGAACACUUCAUGAAUGAAAUUGAAAUCCCUUACCGGUCUUUGCCACAAAAUCUUAGUCUCCCUUUAUGGCUGCACCUCACGCCGCAGCCGCGAACUCCUCCUUGUCUACGAAUACAUUUCCAAUGGAGCCGUUGCUGAUCAUCUCCACGAAGACAGAGCAGACCCUGGCUCACUCACUUGGCCUAUUCAUAUGAACAUUGCCAUAGAAACCGCCAACACAUUGUCCUACCUCCAUGCUUCUGAAAUUGUACAUCGUGAUGUGAAGACUACCAACAUUCCGCUCGACGGCAACUUCUGCGUUAAUGUUGCAGAUUAUGGGCUCUCCGGUCUCUUCCCCAUUGAUGUCACGCAUGUCUCAAUCGCUCCACAAGGGACACCAGGAUGCGUUGAUCCAGAGCAUCACCAGUGUUACCAGCUAACUAGCAAGAGUGAUGUUUAUAGUUUCGGAGUUGUUCUCAUGGAGCUCAUAUCAUCUCUUCCGGCAGUUGAUAUAAUGAGGCAUAGGCACGAAGUUAUUCUACCCCGGCCAUAAGCAAAUUUCAAAAAGGUUUGUUCAAAGAGUUGGUAGAUCAACUUCUUGGGUUCAUAUUUUAUACAUAUAGUUUUGAUCUUCUAGCGUUUUGGCGCUUCCUACUUGUUUGAUGUCUAUAUCUUUUUCCUUCUCUUUUUUCUGCUUCUUGUGAUAUCGUUUAUCAACCAAUUUGAAUUAUAUGACAUGAUCAAACACCUUCUUCACCGGAAAGUAAAACGGACAUAAAUGACAAAAGUUUUAGAUUUAUACAGUUUUAUAUCAUUCUAAUUUAUACGAAAAGAGUUCAAACUUGAGUACUCUGGCGUAAUCCAUGUCUGAUUAUGUUAAAAUAUUAGAACUACUAUUUCAUCAAUCAUUUAUUUAAUACUUCUAAAUUUGAAUUUUUCAUAUGUUUGUUUGGUUACCAAAAAAAUAAAAUAAAAAAUAAAAUCACAUUGUGGUGGUGAGGGUUAGGUAAUGACAACGUUGUUGUACUUGUUCAAGAACCUUGGGUGCAGGCUAACAACGUGGAAAAUGGAGUUUGAAAUCUAGGCCACCUAAUUUGGAGGCUAUUUAUUUUAACUUUUUUACACGAUGAAAUUUGUUCACAUGGAAUAUCGCUAGUGUUAUUAUCAAGGGUACUGUUAGAAAGAUUAGAUUGUAGACAAAAUUUACAAAUUAAGAGAUUUGUCAUCAAUAAGAAUGUGCAUAUCAACAUUUAAGUUAUAACCUCAUUAUCAACUUCCAUAUCAUUUAGUUUACAAAUUUAAUCUUCCUAACAUUACCCUAUUAUCAAUUAAUCUUUACGAAAUCUCUUAUUAAUGGAUGAAUUUUUUUGUAGAAAACAUGAGCCACUAUACCAAAUGUUACAAUUUCUCCUAUUAAUGUUUAAAGUUUAAAAGAAAUUUAUCAACCACUUAUAUAUUGACACUUAAUAUGCGGGCUCGUGCAGACUAAAAAAAUUUAUCCUAUUAUUGGUUGAAACUGACCUUUCAAUCUUCUUCAGUCAAAGAAUGAGGUGUUGUCUCUUUUUCAGAACCCUAUAUAGAUUUUCAGAUUUUUGGAAUUUCACUUGGAAAAUGCACCCACUCUCUCUCUUCUCUCUCCUCUCUCACCCCCUCUCUCCCCUCUCUCCCCUCUCUCUCCUCUCUUUGAAUUAGUGAAAAACGAGAAGAAAAAAAACCCAGUCACUAUUUGGUCUAAUUUAUAAGUGUGUGUAUAAAAAAGAUGCAUCCACCUCCCAACAUAUCCUUUUCUCUAUUUCACAAGCAAUCAAUCGUGUCUCAGUUUCUCCCCUGCAAUCAUUCACCAUUUUAAAUUCAAAUAUUCACCCCCAACAAUUCACAUGUAUAUAUAGAGAGAGGAAUGGGAGUUAGCAGCAGCAACAGGCCUCAAAUCCAAAAGAUGGGGACUUUACAGAAAUUCAAGCUCCUCGCCACGCAGUGCGGCGUGGCCCAGAGCCCGACGCGAAGCCCGCGGUCGAGCCCCUUGAUCCAGCUCCCCCGCCGCAAACCCACUUUGCUCAUGCUCCUGACCCGGAGCAGCAGUCGCCGCCGUGACCCGCCGGUUCCGAUGCCACUACCGGAAGAGCUUCCGGUUCAGAGGAACAGUUUGAAGGACUUGUUUGUGUCGUCGCCGCCAUUUGAGUUGAACGACGGGAGGAAGGCGGAGAGUGAGAGAGAUAAGCGAGCAGAGUUCGGUAGUUUGGGGGCGGUGGGUAAAGAAAUUGGUGGAUUUGGACCGGGCUCGCCUAGGCCGGCCUGGACCGGUUUCCGUUACAAGUCGUUAAUGAGAAGGGCUUGGCGCCCUGUGCUCGUCACUAUUCCCGAGUAAAUUACAACAACAAAGCUUUAGUCCAGUAAGUGGCAUUGGCGGUAUAAAUCUUAGAAUGAUUUGCGCGGUAUAAAUCUUAGAAUGAUUUGCGAUCAAGUCUUCCGUUAACUCUAAGUACUUUUGUUUUCGUAAACUAAUAUUUGGAAAAUAUUAUUAGAAGUUCUUUGUUGUACGUUAUGUCAUCAAUCGUCUCUCACGAUCUUGGUCCAAAUAUACUAAUACAAAUCGAUUUCGUAUUGCAUUGUAUAAUUUGUAGUUACCGGCAUUGAAUUUGUAGUUAAAAGCGUUUAUCAAACAUUCGACGUUAUGGUUUCAUGACUUACAUAGUGCAUUUGAACUCGUGAGAAACUUGGAACCUCUUCCAAUAUUAAACAGAGGGAAUGCAUCAAGUCAGAGCCGGUUGGUUUCGAGAAUCAAAGAAAAAUCCUACUUUGAAUAGAAACAGCUUCCGAAGAAACAGAGGGAUCCACGGAAGACGAUCCUUCCCUUAUUUCGGAAGAAACAGAGGUAGAACCAUUACCAUUCUUUUGAGGUUCCUUUCUAAAGUUAAAGUGGCUAAGGCCCAGGACCAUGACUGUUGGGAGAACAGUUAACACCACACAUGCUAAAGCAACAAUUCUUCCCUUUGGGACUAAAAAGGACAAAGAAUAAGGCGUGCUUUAUUACACCACCAAACCUCAAGCUUCCUCUGUUGGAAAUAAAAGCACAACUUUUGCAAAUUCUUAUCUUAUUACAACCCGAUUCAAAUCCAACAUCAUUUCGGAUCUAUACUUUUUGCAUCAAAGAGCUCAAAACAAACUACUCGAGACCUAAUUUCAUGACGUACAUUUUGAACGAAGAAAGAAAGGUUACAAUAAGGGAACUAACUUUUUUCCCUUUCAAAUGGAAAAAUUUCUUACAGUCAAAUGGUAAAUUCAAAAAAAGGGUGGAUUCCUUCAAUGUCUUGCCGUUAGCGGGUCUUUGUUUCCAAGAGGAAGUGGAGUCCUCUGAUUUGUUUGGGCUUGUGCUUGCCGCAAUGCAGAGUCAUUCCCCUCUCUCUCGGUGCCUCCAUUUCCCUUCUGAGGUUCGGCGUGGCCAUCAGACUUAGGGUGGCCACCUGAGUGCUCGUUUUCUGUAAGUACAACCCUCCGCAAGAACCUAUCUAUCAUCUCGUAGCUGGUAAAUGUAAUAACGGCAGAAGGAGUGGUUCUUAGUAGAUUAGUAGCACAACCAUUAUAGAAUCCACGAAGGCCUUCCUUUUGGAACACCUUCUUCAUACAGUCAAUAACUCCUGCGUACUGGGGUUCAAUAUGUCUCGCCUGCCCUUGCUCUUGCAGCCUCGAGCGCACAACCUAGAGAUAAUUAAUUCAGUCAAGACAAUAAAAUAAAAUAUGAGAAAGAUAGAGAGACACGACUCUUAAGUUAUAAGCAGUCAUCCAAGCCCCAAUCCGUUUACUGAGAAGUCCAGCUGAACAUACCUCGUGAGGGUAUGUUAUUACAGAAGCGAUUACUUUUGAUACUGAUGAAGCAAAGGCAACUCUACUAGGGUGUAACUUAUCAACAGUUGUAUUAUCUGAAAAUUAUAUUUACGGGGUCAGAUCUAAUUAAUUAAUUAGAAAACGCUGAAUUUUCAAGUAAAACAGUUCAUCAAAGAAGUAAAAAUAUAACGUUUACCCCUUUUUGCCAUGAAAGACUUUAUCUUUUCAUAAGCAGGAAAUUGAAUUGCAACAUGACUUAUGCCAGCCAACGAAGGCAAGAUCCCACUGUUUGAAACCACACAUGCAAACAAAAACAUAUCAUUAAGGGAAACGACGCGGAUAGAUUAAAUAUCAAUUGAACAGACUCCUUUCACCGAAUGAAAAAAAAAAUCGAUUUAAGCAAAUAUGAAAUUCACAGUUUAGUGUCAUAUGAUGUAACUCGGAAGAAAAAUGACCUAUAUAAACCUCGCAAGCCUUCCUCAGUUGCAAUCCUUGAGAAAGCAGAUCUCAUGCUUUUGUAAGGAAUCACACCAGGCCUCAUUCCUUGUGUCUAAAUGAAGUUGAUCAAGAAGAAUAUAUCAAUGUACAAAAAUGACAAAAAGUUCAAACGAGGAAAAUUAAUUAGUGUGAAGUCCUUGAAUUUUCUAAAUCCAUGAAUGUUGACUUUAAGUCAGAAACUAACAUGUAAUUAUGUGGAAGAGAUUCAUUAGCCUGGUUAGACAUUGGUUAAGCAUCAACCCCAAGAAUAAAACAUGCCCAGACAUUUCUUAGAAACCCGUAAGCUCUAAAGGACCAUCUCUAGCAAAUAUGUGUUUGCAUAGUUGAACUAAUACUUUCUUUUAUUUUCAUUCGAUGCACAGUUUACUUUCUCCCCACAUCUCAAGUCAAGGACAUGAUAAUUACGGAGAGUUUGUGUCGCAUCCAGGAAAAAAAACAAUGUUCUCAGUCCCAAUCCAACAGAAUGCCAUAAAAAUAACAGGUCAUUGUUCCCCAUGUUUCAAUAUCUUCUAGUACUUUAUAAUUGAUAUGCCAUUCUAUUUUGCAAUUUAAAUAUACCAAUACAAUUAUGUUUGUGUUUUAAGUAUAAGUAGACAUAUAUUUAUAUAUUAUAUAAUAAAUUUAAUUAAAAUUAAAAAAAACUAGGCCCCCGCCUAGACGCCUAGGCGCUAGGCCCCUGCCCGCCGACCGACUAGCUUCUAGCACUUUUUAGAACCUUGUGCAACACAAAGAAGCAUUUGCUAUUGCAAAACAAAUACAAAAUCCCGGAACUGAAAUUAACUUAGAGCUACACAACCCUGAAUUACGACAGCUGCAUGCUUUAAAGGGCAUAUGUAUGUGUGAGUAGUGAAUACUGACCACUCCAAUAAAAUUAUGAAUUUUUUUAACAUGAAAUAAGCAUGUGGGCUAGCAGAAAAUGAGAUGGAAUCACAGAUUCCCUUUACAUGAGAAUAUAUGUAUUACUACAUUUUAAAUGAAUUACAAACACAAAAACAGUAAACUUACUUGAAGUCUGGUCUUAACAACCCACAAUGGAUUUGUUGAAAUGGCUGUGGCAGCCCCGGCACCAGCAGCAGCAAUCAUAUUUUCACCAAUUGUGAGUUCUCCGAUGCCAUGAACUACAGUAUGACCAUAGUGAAUGUUUAAAAGUAACUAGCUGAAUGCUAUUAAAUAGUCCUUAAACCUCUAAACUAAAUCAAGAAUAUAGGAAUACCAGGCGUUUCAUAAGAAAUAAUUAGAGACAAACACAGACUUUUAAGCCACAUUUGGAAAAACCAACCAUGAGUGUGGAGUAGGCCUUUGAGUUGCUCAUAAACUGUGAAGUACACCUGCGUACAAACAGAGUGCAUAUGGCACCAGGAGAAUUACAAAAAGUAUAUAGGUAAAAAAGUUGCAUGUGAUCUGACCGAGGGCCUCAAAUCCUUGUGAAAUCAAGUUUCCACAAGAUAAAGGCUCCCAAAGAUUUAUUUCACAAUAUAAGGCAACAAAAGUAAUACUCACUGCCCAGUUUGGAAGUAGCGCUAGAAUUGUAGGUGAAAGGCCCCGGUACAUCCCCUUCACACCUUCAGUCUUUAAUAUUUUUUGUAGGCUUGUGACAAUGAUACUACCUGAUCAUAGGCCAAAAGGAAAACAAAGAAGAACAGUCAUACUGAUAUGCAUGCAGUAUGCAGUGCGAACCAUAUAUACUACAAAUUAAUAGAUCGACUCAAAUUUGUCCUCGAAAUGGCCAUGAGCCAAAUAAAAAAAUUUAUAGAACAAACACAAAGCCCCCUGAAGCCGGUUCACCAAUUAACAAGAAAUGUGGCAUACAUUUGGUCAAUGCAUAUUUUCUCGUUUAUACAAAUACAGAGAGUUCACAAAACCGAAACUUUAACCAGACUACGAUUCCAUUUCCACCUAAACAUGUGCUCCCAUAGUCCCAAUGAAUCUAAGAUCGUCAAAAAUCGAUACUUGCAUUCGAUAAGUUCCUUAAAAAUAACAAAAACACAGAAUUUCAUCCAAGUAUUGAUAAACAAAACAUAAUUUGUUCAAAGGAAUAUAAAGCUUCGACUCUGUAAAUUGAAGAAUACCUCUUUGCCCAGAAGGCAUGCCAUGGACCUGCAGCCUAGUCUUGAUGACAUCCAAGGGGCAUACAAACGUAGCCGCAAUAGCACCUGCAAAGCUUACAAUUCAAUCAAUUUGCAAUAAAUUCAUCAGAUUUCCAAAUGCGUCCCCAGAUGAACGAAACCCUAGGAAUGGGAAUGGGGAAGACACUGACCAGCGGAGGCGCCAGCACCGGCGUGGCAGAUGACAUCUCUGAUAGUUUGGCGAUCGGAAUGUUCGGCCACAACACCCAUCGUAGUCGAAUCCUCUCUAGUCUAUCUCUAGAGCUGGUUCUUCAAAUCAAAGGUAAAUUUCAUGGCCAAUCGCAGUGUGUGUAUAUAUACAUAUACAUAUAUGUAUAUAUACUGAUUUGAUAGAGAGGGAGAGAUUCGGGGUCGGAAGUUUGAAGGACUGUGGAGCGCCAGUAUUCUGGACCCACGAGGUCGUCGUCGUCGUCGCCUGAACUUGUUUGAAGGGGUUUAAGCGGUGAAAAAGGACGUGUCAGGUACGCAGAGCUCAGCUUCGGAUUUGGAAUUUGGAAAGGGGAAAUGACCCGGAAACGGAAUCCGUCGAGGGAAGGAAACUCGAAAACUACCAAAACGGCUAUUUUCUCUCUGUUACAAGUAAAUUUCUCCCCAAAAAUGUGUAGGUGGGUUUCUUUCCACGUUAAUUAAACUCAAUUUCUGCCUAAUCGCUAAUCAAUGUGAUAAACAUUUCUCUUCAAAAUGUGUUAAUACAUUUACGACCACCCGGCCGUCACCGCUACAGUUCGGUAAUAUUUGUAUGAAGAAAAAGUUUUUUUUGGAGUCUAACGAUCCAAACUGCUAAUUUUUUAGAUUUUUCUUUAAAGAUCACGUCAAUUGUAAAUCAUUCAAAUAUGAAACCAUAUGAUUGUUGUGUUAAGAGUUUAGGGUUCUAUUAGAACCAUAUUUAUCCAUUUUUUUCACUACAAAUAAAAGUCAUAAUGGUUUUGAAUUUGUCUAACUUUUUUGAACAAUAAUCUAUGAAUAAUGUUAUAAAAAUAGACAGUUCAGAUCGUUAAAAUAGAUUAUGAAAUUAGCUCUACAAAACCAUAUAUCAAAAGUUGUAUAACAAAAGUGGUGUCAAAUAGGUUUAAUAUUUAAUAUAAAACCAAGGGCACUAAUUCAAUUCACAUUUUAGAUUCUCCUUAGGGCUGGUUUGGUAUUGCUGUGCUUUGAAAAAAAACUGCUGUGAGAAUAAGCGGUUGUGCUGUGAGAAUAAGCGGCUGUGAAAUAAAUCAGCAGAGUGUUUGGUAAACUUUUUUGUAAAAGUGCUUUUGGAAAAAAAAAAGCAGUCUAAUAGUGGGUCUUUUCAUUAAAGAAGCACUGUAGCUCCGUGUGCUUUGAAAAAAACCAGUUUUCUAAAGCUACAAAUAGCAGCUUCAGCUUUUUCCUUUGAUUUCAGCUUAUUCUCACAGCAGCUUCCAAAAUAAGCCCUUUUUUUUUCAGUUUACCAAACACCUAAAACCCUCACAGCUUUUUUUCAUGGGUGCUUUUUUUUUAAGCACCUCACUCCCAAACUAGGUCUUACUCUCCUUACAUUUUUUUUCCUUAUAUAUUGCAAUAUACCUUCCUCCUAAGCCCUAAACACAUGCAUAGUAUUUGUAGAGUUUGCUAGUGUAAAUUUUAUGAAAACAAAAUUUCAUUUUUAAGUACAGAAAAGUUUAUAUUACUCUAACCAACUUAGUUGCGCUUAAUAGUAUUAUUUUUUUUAAAUUUAAAAGUUGUGCUCUGACUUGUGAGAGACAAAUAUGUAAAAAAGUUUGUUUGUUUUGUUUGUUUUUUUAUUUUUGUAUACGGUGAGGUAGCCAAUGGUGGAUUUCAUCGCUCAGACAAAUUCUUGUGUCUACUUUGGCCUGCUUGACGAGGAGAGAGAGUUCAAUAGAUUUAACUAUUUCAAUUGCGUUUAUAAAAAAUUCAAAAAAUAAAAAUGUGCCUUUAAUUUGACAAUGUCGCAUAUUUUGUGUGUACAUUGAAACAAGAAGCUUGUUGGACUUUUCUACUUCUCUUGGGGUCCAAAGUCGUCGAGUAAGAGAGGCCCAACUAAUUCAGCCCAGAGUGCACCUUUGGCAUAUUACCUUUCCCGAAAAGCAUAUAUGCUAAAUUUACAUAAGAAUAGGAGAACAACUUAUAUGAUACAAAUACAACGUCUUUAGCGUCCUGAGUAAAUUGUACAAUGUUAUGUUAAAAAAACUCAAUAUUAUAUUAUCUCAUUGGCACGAAAAAGGUUAUGGUUGGUGGGCUUAAAACCAUCACAAAAAAGGCCCUGCAAGAUAAAUUAAUGUCUUGGGCAUCUUUCAUCAAAGAUAUCAUGAUUUCCGGGGCCCAGGACUGUACGCAGUGGUUUUCUGACCAUCGUACGUGGGGAUGAGCAUGGCACAUUGGCAAUGCGUGUAGGGCCCAGAUAGCCCCAUUAUCCCAGCCUGUACUUGCCCAGGGAUCAGGAUCCUCUCCUGAGCAAAGGGUGUGGAUCCUCCUAACCAAGCCCAUCAGGCCGUUGAAAUUUUAUCCAACGGCUAUAAACAGGGAGCCCCUUUAAAAGUUAUAAUAAUUGUAGUCGUUGGAUAAAAUUUCAACGGCCCGAUGGGAUUGGUCAGGAAGAUCAUCACCCUUUGCUUAGGAGAGGAUCUGAUCCCUUGCCCAGUUGCUCAAAACCAAUAAAGAUUAUGUUUUUAAUUUUAUUUUCUAAAAAUAUAACCCUCAAAGGCAGAACAGUAUGUGGAUGUGGAGAAAUUUUUCGAUGCCAAGAACACGGUUCGGUAUACUAAACAUCAUAAUACAAUUGGUAGAAUUUUGUUUUUAAAAUUUCUAACUAAUUGUACUAUGAAACUUAAUAUACAACAGUAUUAAGCCGUAUUUCUUUUUUUAAAAAGGGGACAAUUGGUACUUGGCCGUAUUUUCGGUACACUAAAAAAUCUACGAUGAAUGUGGAUGAUGGAUCCAACGCACUUACUGGAAGAUUCCCAAAAAUCUCAGUUUAGAAAGAGGUAGUUGAAGUUGUUCUUCUCCUAAUCAAGAAGAAAAAGGUAUAAAGAAGAACUUUGCAGAAUUGUCUGACUAGGGCAAUUCUCAGAUUGAAUAAAAUUUGUACGAGUUCAUACAAGACUAAAGUAUAUAAAUUUUCACGCAUUUGUAAAGUUACUUACGAAUAACGUGAUCGACAACGCUUACUAUAAGUUUUUUUUCCCAUUUAUCAAUUAUCAAUUGGGUACUCGGUACAAUUUCCUUCAUUUCUCAUGCGAUGCAACACUUAGCAGAGAUGCCUAUUAAAACCUUUACCAGACGCAUCCGUUCCAACUACAACCCUCCCAUCUGCAAUUCAUUAAUUAUGUACUCGAAUUAAAUAUUGCAAUUUCAAUAUUAUUCACAAUCUUCUACUCUAAUCGCGGCCACAGACACACAGCAGCUUCACACUCAUACUGAUCUUGCAAGUUGUAAGUAACAGUGGGUUUAGAAUUUUAGCCUGAGCUCAAAUGUCUUAAUCCAAAACGUUCUUUUGAUCUUACAAAAAUUACAUUGUUUUGUGGUGAGCAACCAACCAAUGUCGUUUAGUCUGGUAUGAUGUCGUCCUCAUCAACUUAUUUCUCAAACCUAAACCUCAAUACUCUUUGACUUUCUUCCUCUCUCUCCACUGAUCCCCAUACCAAAGUCCUCAUCGAAGCUCACAAGCAACAUAAUACCUGAACUCUAUAGGAGUCAUCAACCUCAAAUCAAACUCGAUGAAAAAAAUUAAAGUAAAAAAUCAGACUGGAGCCUUGUGCCUACAAAAAAACCUUUAUGCGUGAAAAAUAAAAAUGUCAGAAUGGCCGUGGAACCAUCCUAGUGCCUUUCUGGCUCACUCUGCUAAAUACUAUAAUUGUUUCUUCAGUAAGAAAUUCUGCUAGAUCACCGAGUGCAUACAUUAGCGUCAGUGUUUUUUUUUGUCAGGUAACGAAGGUUUAUACAUAUGGUGACACACACACGGAAAGGUAAAGCAUGCUUGGUGGAGUUUGUCCUUUACUUAAAGAAUAUUGAUGAAAAAUCAAAUCACUUACAGUAUCUUAAUAGAAAUUUGAGUUACUGUAACUUUAUACCAGAGUUUGAUGCACACAUGGUUUCAGGUUUCAAGUUCAACUGAUGCAGCUUUAACAUGCUGGGAAAUAUUUGACGAAAAGACCUAGCUAGCAAGCUGCUUUAUAGCAUUCGGGCAAUUAGUUGCCCCUAUGAUCUUGAUCGAGUAUCAUUUUUAAUCCAACUUUCGUCGUGUUUCAGAAAAAGUUUCAUGAUUUCGAAGCGUUUCUGUCACAUAGUAGGAAGUAUGUGAAUUUCAUUAUACAAUUCACGAUUCUAACUAAAAACUGUACUAAACGUCCAUUUUCUAUCUUUUGUAUUUCUUACCUUUAGGUCCGACUUAAUCUAGUUCUAAUUUUUUUCGUUUUAAGUAAGUAAAUACGUAAUAAGAAAACAUGUCAGGAACUCUAUAGUUUUAAGGGGUUUUUUGAUAUGAGUCAAAAGUAACUAAAAAUUGAACAUAUUUCAAAAGUUAAAAAUCACUAAAAAUUAGACCUAUUUCAAAAGUAAGCCUAUAAAAUUAGACAUAUUUCAAAUUUUCCCAAGUAGAAUUUCAUAUAUGAGAUAUUAUUACCCUUUCUCUUUAAAGAAAAAUGCAAAUCAAUGAGAAAUAACACAUAUAAGAGAUAAAACUUCCAAUCUGAAAAAUGAUUAAGGUUGUGACAUAAAAAAGAAAGAGUGUAAUGUUUGGAAGGAGGUCAAGAAAUUGGAAGGAGAAUCGUUUUUCUUUUAAUUUUUAAUUUUAUUUCAUUUUUAAAUAUUUUAAAUCAAAUAAAUAAUUUUAUAAAUAAGUUUAUAAUGAUUUAUAAUUUUUUUUAUAGAAAUUAGAUGGAAAUGUUCUUAAUUGGCUAACGAAAAUAAACACAAAGACCAAAUUGACUAAAUUGAAAACACAGAGAUUAAAUUGAUCCAAUGACUAAAACACAUUGAUCAUUUUAAUAUUUAAGCCUUCAAUAUUUGAAAUGAAACUAAGAUAGAGUUCGGAUCUCACAUUGGAUAUGAGGGCUACAAGCCUGCAUGCUGCAACCCUACCCUGCAUAUGCAAAUACAGUAUACGUAUGGCCAACUUAAUAAUUCCACAACCCACAUGCUGCCCUACCUAAUCCUCAAAUUAAUUAUACUUAAUCACAAAACACAACAACGCGGAAAGAAUUAAAGCAACUUAACAAUUUCGUUAUCAUCGGGCCACAAAUUAAAAACAAAAAAAAUGCAUGCAAAAAUUGUGAUGAGAAGAAAGGUUGGUCCUCCCUUUGGUGACAAAUCCUCUUUGAAUCAUUUCCAUCCGGACUCCCAAGAUCAAAUAAUAUGAGCCGUUCACGUAAAAUCGUCUAGCUGAGAUCAUUCUUCCUCUUUAACUUUCUUACUUUUUCUCUUCCUCUUCAAUAUCUUGCCUUCUUCUUCGGUGGCCAUUGACUUAGCAGAACCAGAAGAAAGAAAGAAGAAAAUGGGAGGGGUUGAAGGUCGAGGAAACAUGCAGUGGAAAAGGGGUGGGAGGGGGAGGGACUGGGGAGGUGAGUGAUGGUAGGGAGGUCAAGGGAUUGGGUGCAGCAAUCUCGAUCCCAACUACUAUUCCGACAACAGUCGUCUCCUCUAAUAUUCGCGCCUCUCUUAACUUUCUCAUCGUCAAUGCUGUCGCUGCGGAUCUCAAGGCGGAGGAUUCUAAAGCCGCUAUCUCAACUUCUUUUCAUUAAAGAUUCGGAGGAUUUGGAUGGAAUGAGUUUGAAAAUGAUCAGAUUCCCUCCUUUUGAGAACAACUAAUAUAGAUUUAAUAAGUUUACCGUGUCACGUGAUGUUUCUAUUUGAUAUAUAAUAUAACAGCGUAUAACAUGAACAAAAAUUUACAUAACAUUAUAUUAAGCGACAAAAUUACCAUGACAAUAAACGCAAUCCAUGUCAAAUUGCAUCACCGUCAGCAUUGGCAUUGACUAGGAGGGGCGUUGGGGGGACCCCAAAAGCCCUCGAGUAAAAAAGCAAAGGGUAACCCUACAAGGCUGUGGCUGUGAGGCUACAGGUAAACAGGGUUACAGAUAUCUGCAUACGCAGAAUCGCACUCAGUUAACCACAUGCAACGAGAGCUCUGCGAACCUUGCCCACAUCAUCGCCAUCACAGAAACACAUGCACAAACACCCAUCACGUGUCAGCUUUUUUCACAGAAAAAUCCCACAACCCUAAGAACUUUGUUACCAAAUCCACUUGGUAUCCAUACUCCCUACUCCCUAGUCUUCAAUUUCAUCAUCUCCCGUGGAGAUUCCUUCAGAAUCGGGAUCAAAUUUUGAUUUUGGUCCUUUUAGUUUUAGCAAAGUUUCACUUUGAAAUGUACAUAUGUAAGGUUUGACUUUUGUUUAUUUUUCUUAUUUAUUAUAAAACUGGUUAAGCGGUACGUUUUGGGUUCAAUUCUUGACGUUGGUGAAUUGCACGAUGGUGAUCAUGAGAGCGAAAAUGCUUUUGUGAGCCUUCUUAGCCCUAUGAAUGGUGGAUUGUCGUAGCGAAGUCAUCAAUUGAUCCUUUAACAAAAAAAAAAAAAGAACUAGCUAUUUUUUAUUUACACUAAGAGUUGAGAGUCGGCUAAGUUCAUAAGUUCAAAUUUGAUUUUGAAAAAAUUGAACUUAAAUCUUCUCACUUACGUAUAAAGAAAAAUAUUACUCGACAGUAAUAAAAUGUAAAAAGUGCACCAAAUACUCUUUAGCAUUGAUUAGCUUGAUUAAUUAACUUCCCGGAAAACUCUCCUUGAAGAUAUGUUAGGUAAACGACCAACCUUGUGAUGCCGGUCUUUAGAGAAAUUUUUAGUUGUGACGGAAAUAUAAGUGAUAUAUUAUGUGCUUUGAUAGGAAUGGUGGGAGAUUUUAUUUUUUAAGUUAUUAAAUUUUUAAUACACAUAAUCCACCAUUUAUUUAAUGACACAUGAUGUAAUAUCUCGUGUACCGGUCACAUUGAAAAAUAUUUCUUUAAAGCACUCACAAACAACCAACAUAAUUUCUAUGUAGACCCUAAUCUUUCUUUUGUACCCACCUCCACACCAGUGAACUUUUCUCCCGGGAAAAAAAAUUAAAAUAUAGAAAAGAAAAGCUCUUGCCUUUGGCUUUUUGGGGGAAAACAAAUUGGUUCGGAGAAAGAGAGAGAGAGAGAAAGAGAGAAAGAAAGAAACCGACUUUUUUCAGAAGCAGAUUAUGGGUUUAUGGAUGCAUUGCUUCAUAGUCAGCCGUAUCGACUUUUCUGCAAUUUCUCUUUAGAUUUCGAUCGAAAAGUUGCUUUUUUGCCACCCAAUUUCUCUACCACUUCUUUAACCCCGGAAAGUUUGGAUUUUUUUUAGUAAUCGUGGGUGUUUGAUGGAAAGGAAAAGGUUGUGAAGCUGCUGCCGACUCGCAGGAAUUCAAAGUUCAAAUUUUUAAUCGAAAGAUUAAGGAUUUGGGGGUGUUUGAUUUGAUUAAUGGGUCUUACAGUUCAUACCUCGUCACCAAAACGCGUUGCGUCACCGUGUUGAUUUCUUUAUUGGGUGAUUUCUUUUUUUGUUGUUAUCGUCGUCGUUGGUGUUACUUAUUACCUUCGCAAUCGGAUCUGCGUUUGGUUUCUCAGUCAGACAUUCUUCUGGGAAUCUUUGUUCAUCUGUUUGGUUGCCGAGAAAAUACCUCAAGAAAAGGUGAGAAAAAAAUAUAGAAUAAAACGAAAAUUUGAGUUUUUUGUCUUCUGGGUUAGCUGAAUACAUGCUUAUUAGUGACAUUUUUCUUCUGUUUUAUAUGAUUUCGAUUGCCAAAUGAUGGAAUAUCCAAGAUGUAAUCUUCCUGUUUUGUUUUUGUUACAUAUGUCGGCAAGUGACAGCAUAUAUUUGUUGAUAUAACCAAUUUGUUGACGUUGUUCUUUGUUUUGUCUUAUGAUAAAUGCAGAUCAGUUGUUGUUGCAUGUGAAAGGUUCGAUCUUGCUUUGUUAGAAUUGGGACUUUGUGCUAUUUGUGCAAAGAAGUUCGUGUGUUUUGAGGCCAUUGAUUACGAAAAUCUGUAGGAUCUUUUAGGUGUUUUGCAUUAGUAUGCUUUUGAGGGGAAAAGAGUAAGAUAGUUUGAAGGUCUUGGGCCUCCGGCAAAGACAGGGGUGAGGUAGUUAUGGCGUCCGGAGAUAGGCGUCAGCAUCAUAAUAUGGUGCCUCUGGCUGCAUUGAUCAGCAGAGAGCUGAAGAGUGAGAAGAUGGAGAAGCCAACUGUCAGAUAUGGGCAUGCAGCUCAAUCCAGGAAGGGGGAGGAUUAUUUCCUGAUCAAGACUGAUGGUCAGCGAGUACCCGGGAAUUCUUCAUCAGCAUUCUCCGCAUUUGCGGUAAGCCUAAGUCUCUCUUAUAUUUGCACUAGAUUAUAGAGCCAGAGCUUGGCAGCUCACCUCUGUUAUGGUGUUGCCCCAUGGUGAAUGUCCCAAAAGUUGAAUUCUACAUAUGAGUGCUUAACUCUAUAUAGGCUGUGAGCGAGAUAUUUUCCGAAAAUUUCAUGUACUGUUGGUUUAAUUAUGGAAUGAAGCUGUGUGCUCAAACCAAUUUCCUUUAGCUAUCAAAUAUACUGCAAAUCAAGUAUAAUAGUCACCGUUCUCUUUCUGAUUGUCAGAUCUUUGAUGGGCACAAUGGAAAUGCAGCAGCAGUAUAUACAAGGGAGAAUUUGUUAAAGCAUGUGUUGGGUGCUAUUCCCCGUGGGCUAGGAAGGGAAGAGUGGCUCCAAGCUUUACCUCGAGCCUUGGUUGCUGGCUUUGUGAAGACUGAUAAGGAUUUCCAGAGCAGAGGUAUGGAAUUUACAAUUUGCUUAGUCUUUGUUCUUCUUUCUGGUUUUUCUCAUAUUUUUCAGCACAAAUGUACUAAUUCUUUCUACUCUUAUUUCGUGGCCAGGUGAAACUUCUGGAACAACAGCUACCUUUGUAAUAGUUGAUGGAUGGACCGUGACAGUUGCAUCAGUAGGAGACUCCCGUUGUAUCUUAGAUACUCAGGGUGGUGCUGUUUCCACCUUAACUGUUGAUCAUAGACUUGAAGAAAAUGUAGAGGAGUAUGUAUCUACUAAAAUUCACUAACAUUCCUCUCUUUUUAUUGUUCUGUGGAUUUGUUAAUUGAAUAUUUUCUUUGUAAUUGUAGGAGGGAGCGUGUUGCUGCAAGUGGUGGGGAAGUUGGGAGGUUGAGCAUUGUUGGUGGUGCAGAGGUGAGGGCUUUUAGAUCUUUUUGCUUUAUUUUCCUGACGAAAACAAAGAAAGGAACACUUCUGUGGCUGAGUCUUAAUUAAAAUAUGUUUUUCAUUGUGUAAUAUAUGUUGUUUUGACAUUUACAGAUUGGACCCCUCCGUUGUUGGCCAGGGGGUUUAUGCCUUUCUAGAUCAAUUGGAGACAUGGAUGUUGGCGAGUUUAUAGUUCCAAUACCAUAUGUGAAACAAGUCAAGGUAUCUUUCUCUGCGUGGAACUUCAAUUUUUAACAAGUUUUUAUUCAAUUCAAUGCCAGGUAUUGUUUAACCUGAAAGCUAACAUUCUUAUAUUGUUUUAAAAGCUUUCAAAUGCUGGUGGGAGGCUUAUUAUUGCUUCUGAUGGCAUCUGGGAUGCUAUAUCUUCCGAAAUGGCAGCACAUUCUUGCCGUGGGUUGCCAGCUGAACUUGCUGCCAGACAAGUUGUGAAGGUUGUUUGAACUACUUGGCCAUUUUCUUGCAAUAUGCACGUUAACCUCAAAGGCUAGAACUCUUUCUUAUUGAUGGUGGAUUUUGUUGUAGGAGGCGUUAAGGUCUAGGGGUCUAAAGGAUGAUACAACCUGCAUAGUUGUUGACAUAAUCCCUCCUGAUAUUACCGAACAGCCUUCAACUCCGCCAAAGAAGAUUAACAAGCUUAGGACCCUGUUGUUCAGAAAGAAGUCGCGUGAUUCUGCUAAUAAACUAUCCAAGAAGCUAUCGGCUGUGGGUAUUGUGGAAGAGUUGUUUGAAGAAGGGUCUGCGAUGCUUGCUGAAAGGUAGCUGAUUCCCUCUCACUCAAUUUAGUUGAUUCGAUGCAAAUUUUCUAGAAAAGUUUCACACUGCGGUUGUCUACUAAAUUUGAAAAGAAAAUUUUCAAUGAUGUCAUUAACUUUAGUCUUGUUUAGGAGAUCGAAGUGGGAGUUUCAUAUAUAGUUAUCAGAAACCUUUAUUUUUGAGUUGGAAGUUUCAAUUUGCCUGUUGGCUUCUGGUGAAAUGUGGUAUUUUGGUAUUGUGUAUUUGGUUACAUCUCAAAAUGAUUAUAUCCUGUAAAUGUGUUGCAGGUUGGGCAGUGAUGAGUGCACACCACAAUCGACAACAUCUGGGCUAUUCAUGUGUGCUGUAUGCCAGGUUGACCUUGCUCCGAGCGAGGGCAUAUCGGUUCACGCAGGUUCUAUCUUCUCAACCAGUUCAAAGCCUUGGCAAGGGCCGUUCCUCUGUUCUGAUUGUCGUAACAAGAAGGAUGCCAUGGAAGGAAAACGCCCUAGCGGAGUCAGAGUAGCAUAGGUAGCUUGUGCAUUGUUUCGCCACCAUUCUUUUUAACCCGGUAUUCCCAUUUUUUUGUAAUCCGUCUUCGUAGGCCAGCCAAUAUUGUUUGAAUCUUUUACUCUAGUGAUGCAUGUAAUGUAUAUGUAAAUUUGAUAAAUAAUUUGAAGUGAGUUUCAGAAGUUGAGGAAGGUCUUGUGCAAGGAAACCUCAUUUGAUAAAGUAAGUAAAUAAAUGAACGGAAGUGAUUUUCUUUUGAUUUAUUCAAUCCUGUUAGGAUGUAGAGUAGGGUUUCACAGCCAAACGUUCGUUCCUCUCAAUCAUUCUCCGUUGUAUACUGCCACAAACGUUUUGCAAAACCAUGGAAUUGAGGAUUUCCAAUUGGGAAGCCAAGUUCGACGAGUUCAAGAAGUCUCAAGAAGAAUUCAGGAUUUCUGAGGCCAAAUUUCGGACCGAAUUCAAGACUACCACUGAUUCAAUUCUUAUUCAAUUGAAGUUGCUCGCGGCCUACAUCGACGCAUCAGCCGUUCAUCAAAUCUACAUCUCCUCUCUCUCUCGAGAGAGAGAAAUCGAAUCAAAUUGUUCUCAAGCUUCAAUCCUUCCACAUGGAAAAGGUUCGAGCCCGAGAGAAAGUGGAUGAAUUCUUGUCUCAGUACCAUCCAAAAUACAAGCCCAAAAGUCAUCCUUGUUUUCGUCCAACAUUAAAAAAGUUCAAGAAGGUUCGAUGUUCUCAUCAAUGUUCCGAAUUUUCGUCGUAUCAGCCACUAAAGCGUGAGGAUCGUGAUCGUGGUAACAAGUCUCAUCCCUGUUCUGUCUCCGAAAAAAUUGAAGGUCAUGAUAUGAUUCAAGGAUUUCUUAAAGAUGAAACUUUGGAAUUUGGGUGCAAGAAAAUCUGGGUUACUGAAAUUGGAGAAGAAAUCUACCCGUUCAGGUCGAAACCAGCGACUAUUCUUGAAUUUGAUUGUAAGAGUGGCAAAUUCCAAGUUUUCAUUUUGGAAAUUCAUGUUUCUAAUGUUGAGUUUAAGAAAGCUAAAUUGCCUGGUUCACGCGCACUCUACCCGUUUGACAAAAUGUCGAACUCAGGUUACAUUCUUGAUAUUAAACUUGGCUACCAUACGAGCAUUCGUGAUAAAGGAGGUACCAACUUUCUCUCCAGUUUAGAGUCAAUGGAUUUAUUGGUAAGCUGUGAGGACUCAAGUUUCUGUGUUGUUAGCGAUCGUUCCAUGGGCUAUUACUACAAGGGUGGGACAAUUAGUCAAAGGCUCUUCAAUUCGAAGUCCAAGAAUAAAGAUUAUGUUCUGGGUUCUGAUUGUUCCAAGGUGGUCAAAUGUGAGGUGAGUUGUGAUUCCUCCAUGAUCAUUGAUGGGGAAGAUGCUGGUUAUUUGGGAUUGCAUCAUUUAGAAACUUGUAUAGACAAGAACAGAAAAAAUGGAAGUAAGUUCACCUUCUCCAGAUUUGAAACUAGUUUCUGUGUUGUUGUCCAUUGUGACAUGUGCUAUUGUAAGGGCAUUCGGGAUAAGGGUGGAGGCUCCAAAUUCUGGAAGAGCGCUGAUGAUGAGGAAAAGAUGGUGAAUUUGUAUUUUAAUCGGAUUGGUCGGCCUAGUUCUAUGCCUAUAAACGAGAAUGAGUCAUUUGUGAAAAAUGUUAUGCAAAAGAAGAAAAUGGCAAUGGAUGAGUUUCUGAUGUCAGAAAAAUUGACUUUACGACCUGGAGUUGAAGGGUUUGUUGAUGAUGCAUACAAGGAAGGGAUUCAUGUGGUUGUAUUGACAACUUAGAGUAAGAGUGGGGAUCAAAUUGGCAGAUCAAUUCUUGAAAAGCUUGGCGAGGAAAGAAUUUCAAAGCUAAAGAUUGUCGGAGAUAAGGAGGUUGACCUGAGUUUGUAUACCCAACUAGUAAAUGAUACAGGAUUAUCGUUUGGUGUGGAUGAGCAACUAGCUAAGGAGGCAAUAAAAGCAGUUUCCGCUGAGAAACAAAGGAUUGCAGAGGAGGUGGGGUCUAUGCUACAGCUAAGUGUAAAUAUCGAUACUAGCCCGCCUGAAAGCUUAUCAUUGCCGCAUUCCGAGUUGGGGGAGAAGUUGCUGGACUACAUGUAUGUGAUUGUGUUCUUAUUUCAAAUACUCAUUUCUCUUGUCUAAAUGAAUCUGGAAAUUAUAUUGAUUGUAGCGAAGAUGGAAUGAUUGGGGUGGUGAUGUUGGUUGCAUAUACUACUUGCAUAGUUGUAGGUGGAGUAUUUUGUAGUACGUAUAUUGAGUUGAGCAGGGCAGGGAAGAUGACAUUCCCCAUUGUUAAUGAUCUUGGAACAACGUAAAUCUGAUCGUGAAUCUGCAAGUAAUGUAAAUAACACAAGAUGUAUCGUGGUUUACCCCAAGAUUUGGGUUACAUCCACACUGAUUGUAUUUCUCUGACUGUAUGUAUGGAUUACAAGGGUGAGGGGGAGUCCCCCCAGAAAAAGAGAGUGUUGUUGUGUUUGUGAGGGUAUUGCCCUAUGUUGGGUUUUCUUUGUCCUCUUUGUGAGAGGGAAGAGUCCCCUUUUAUAGAAUAAGGGGCUCAUUUUUUUACAUAAUCAUAUGGGCUGGGUAAUGAGGCCCAAUAUGUGUGGUACCAAUAAUAGUCCCUCAAGUCUUUAGUCAAGAGAGUCUUUUGGCUGGAGACUUCAAAUUCAAUCCAUGUACGGGCCGAAGUGGCUAGAUGUCUUGAAUUAGUACUCAACACAAGGCAAUGCUCAACAUAAAACAAUACUCGGCUAGAGGUAUCACACGUUACGAGACUGCUCGGCUGGAGGCGAUGCUUGUUGCGAGGCUGCUCGGCUAGAGGCUAUGCUCGCGGCGAGGCGUUUGCUCGGCUGGAGGCGAUGCUCGUUGCGAGGCGACUCGGCUAAAGGCUAUGCUUGCUGCAAGGCGGCUCGGCUUGUGGUAUUCCUCAUUGCAAGUAUAUACUUUAUGUCGACAUGCACUCAGUAUGAGUUGAUUCUCGACAUGACUCGGGUCCACAUGUCGGGUUCGCAUAUUGGUCUAUGUGUCGGAUCCGCGGAUUGGGUCUGCAGGUCGGGUCUUUGAGUCGGGGCCAUACGUAGGGUCAUCGAGUUGGGGCUAUCUGUAGGGUCAUUAAGUUGGGUCCAGGCACAUAGGUGUCCCAAUAAGCGAAUGUCCGAGCAAAUGGGUGUCUGGUCAAACAAGAGAUCACCAUGAGCACGUGGCUCAUCAGUCUAUAUGUUGGUAGACUUCUUUAAUAAGCAACAAUGUUGAUCAGUGGAUCUAGUUGUUCAAUAAUUCCUGACAAUAAAUGACAAUAUAAGUACGAUCGUAUAAUGAAUAAAUCAAUUUGACAAAGUUUGUCAAGGCAAAAUAUUGUACUAUGUGCCUUCUAUAAAUAAAUAAUUUAUUCAGCCAUGUGAUAAGUGACAUGUUGCAUAAAUCAACAAUAUAUUAGGUAUUGCCUAAAUGUGUAGGUUAUUAAAAAUAUAUAUAUAUAUAUAUAUAUAUAUCUUAGCCACAAUGGGGAUAUAAAAUGGCAGGCAGUUUCAUUAGGUGCCCUAAUCAUCACAUAUUGUAUUCGUCUGUAACUGUGCAUGUCAUGUGACACCACACACCAUCACUCUCUACAUGUACUUAUAUAUAUAUAUAUAUAUAUUAUCACGGCUGACAAGGCGUGGCAGAAAUAAUUAAAGUGGAAGCUAAUAAUGAAAAGGGUUAGGAAAAGUGUUCUUAUCUGUGAGUUUUUUUUCUUUUUUCUUUGUAAGAGUGGUUGAUAGCUGCCUGUUGUUGUUGGUUGGUCACUGCGCCUACUUGAGAGCUCAUCCUUUUCUUUUCUUUUUUUUUUAUUAUUUUCUUUCCACUGCGCAUUUGUCAGCAUUUUGGUUGAAAGAUCCACUUUGAUCCGUUUUGGUUGAAAGAUCCACCACAGAUAAUCACCCUCACCACUCUCUCAUUAUUUUCCUCAGUGACGUAGUCACACCAUGCACAUACAUACAUGGCAUAACUUCUAAAUAUUUCCCUCAGCAGGCAUAGAACUCGACUAACUCGUCCAUUGACUCGGGUUGUGGAUUUGUCCCAGCUAAUCUCGGUAUUGCCAAUGGAGGCUGUUAUGGACGUCGCUCCAAAUCGAAAACCACUGAACUCUCUCACCCUCCUCAAAACCUAGACUCCGCAGCCAUCAUCUUAUCUGGCUCGGCGAUGCAGGCCCGCCCGAUCGAGUGAUCAAGCUACUCCUCGUCCUCUUCCACUCGGCUGGUGUCAUCGACAAGCACUGCCCGCGCCUUGAGCGUCACGGUGCAGAGAGGACUUUGGCGUAGGAGAAUCGUAGCCGGAGAACGGCUCGAUGGGUCGAGAGCUCGGCUUUGGAGCCGUCGAAAAAGAGAUUCUCUUGGCGGUGCGUGGCGAUGAGGAAUAGCUCCAGGAAGAUGGUGACUUAGCGGUGAACGAGGGUUGUAAUUUUGGGCUCUCUCUAGGUGUUACUUGCCAGAUGAUAUGGGUUGCGGAUUCUGCUGCAUUAGAGAUUGAAGAACACAUGGGAACAUUUACUUUCAUAUCCUCCAUUGGUGUUAAAUAUAGGAGAGAGAAAGUGGUGUUGGAGUUGAAAAGAUGAGGGGUUAAGAUGAAGCUGCAAGAGAAGAAGGAGAUGAAGAUGAGAUAGAGAAGCUUGGGACUUGUUCUCUUGUAAUUAUAACCAGAGUUUGCAAACUCCAUUAGAAAGGUAGUGGUCAGUGAGUCUUCAUCUUUCUCUACUGCGGCACAAGGCUUGUCAACUUUUCCCCACUGGUGGUGAUGCCGCUGAUACCGCCCCAUUAUUUCUUAUGCACCAAAAAAGAAAACUUUGAUCUUUAUUUUUUCCUUUCCCCUGUUUUUUCUGCUUUCUGGGUUUUGUAGAGAGAGAGAGAGAGCUCUAUGAGGAUGAGAGCUCUCUGAAUGUGAGCUUUCUGUGUCUGUGUCUCUGUGUGGGUUUUUGCAGAUUCACGGCGGAAGUGAAAAACUGAAAGAGAACCGACACAACUUUUCGUAUCGUUUCCCACAAACUGCGCCAAAUGUUGAUACACAAAAUCGGAGGUUCUGGAACAACGUAAAUCCGACCGUGAAUCUGCAAGUAAUGUAAAUAACACAAGAUGUAUCGUGGUUCACCCCAAGGUUUAGGCUACGUCCACACUGAUUGUAUUUCUCUGACUGUAUGUAUGGAUUACAAGGGUGAGAGGGAGUCCCCGGAGAAAGAGAGUGUUGUUGUGUUUGUGAGGGUAUUGCCCUCUGUUGGGUUUUCUUCGUCCUCUUUGUGAGGAGGGAGGAGUCUCCUUUUAUAGAAUAAGGGGCUCCUCCUUUUACAUAAUCAUAUGGGCUGGGUAAUGAGGCCCAAUGUAUCAAAGUAUGAGGCCCAAUAUGUGUGGUACCAACAAUAUGGUUCAUAGCUUUCACAUGCAGAAGAAGCUUCCAUUUGCAGAUCAAAUUCUUUAGGUUUUUCAGUUUCAAGCCUUGCUGCAUGGCUCAUUUUAUGGGGGGAAACCAAGAGAGGAAAUAAGCAGCAAAACAUCAAAGAUGCAGAACCCAGAUAGAACAGAAAACUAUCUUGUUUGCAGAUAUUGUCAAGCUUUGAAUGUGGAGGGUACUCAAUUAGAUGAGUGUAGUGUUUCAGUUCAUACUUCAUUUUCAUGUUCCAUGUUCUUGCCCAAAAAAGCAUUUGGGACCACAAGUACAAACCACAGUGCCAUUGCCAGUUAUCACAGAUGCUGGGAAUUUGCAAGAUGCACCAGUUGCAAUCUUAGACAAAAGAACAAUCAAGAAAGUGUUGCGGCUACUAAAGCCUUAGUCAAUGGCAAAACCACUCCAAACAUGAUGUUACAUGGGAACUAUACCAUGAACUCAAGCUUAAGUUCCAGAAAUUGUGAACUUUUAAUACAUUCUUGUGAUUGUGUUGUUCCUGGUUUUAUUGCUGGUUUUCAAUUGUACUUGGUUCGAAAUUGUAAAUCUUGUAAGAUUGGUUUUAAGGGGGGUAUUGUUAGGAUGCCAGAUGGCAUCAUCUUGUGGUGACAAUCAGAGUUACGUAUUAGCAUAAAUAGUACAUUGUAAGAGAAGAAAGGCAGUUAAUGAAAUUGUAUUGUUGUUCUCAUGUUCUGUUACCUAUCUCUCUGUGCAAUUGUGGAAGAUGUAAAGUAGGGUUCUAACAAAUCCUAGGGUUGGAAAACAGAAACACGAAAUAAAUGCACGGAAGUGAUUUUCUUUUGAUUUAUUCAAUCCUAGGGCUAGAAAUGUUGUGUUUGGCUCAUACAUUUGUGAGUAAUUAUGAGUCAUGUGUUAACAACAAUGAAGUGAACUGUGUUUGCUUUCGGUGGAAAUAUCACAUGGCGUGGGUUGCAUGAAAAUUGCAGACAAAGUAAAAGCAAAAGUUUGGUGGACAUCAUCAUGAGUAAAAACAUAAUGAUGAUGCUUGCUUUUACUUUAAUGAUGAUGUUUGUGGAAAAAGGGAAAGUUGAUUCCUUUUUCUUUUGCUAUUUAUUUUGCUAAGAACCGAAGGGAGAGAGAGAGAGAUUUGGCUCUCUCCUGAGGCUCUCUCCUGAGAAGACAUCAGAGAGCAUCCAAAGGGUGAGAGCAUUCGGCUCUCCCAUGGGAAAGCAUGGGCACGGGUGAGAAAAUCAAGAGAGCUAGAGUGAAAAGUAUUAUAGUGAAAGAACUCUUGGGAUAGAGUGAGGUUCUUGGGAAAAUUCUAUGAGUGGGUGUGCAAGAGAUUUGGGAUUGGGUUAUGUUGAUUUAACUCAUGUGUACUUGUACUGUUAUUCUCAUAGUGAAGAGCAAUAUCUCUCCGGGGACGUAGGCAGGUUUUUGCCGAACCUUGUAAAUUUCUCGGUGUCUUUAUUUCUUGUAUUUUAUUCUGUUCAACUGAGUGUGAUUUUGGUGAGGUUGUAAUCUGAAUUUCGUUUCCACAUUGACAAACAGGCCAAGGCACAACAAGAAAACAGAAAAACACGAUAGUGAGCAGGUGGAGAAAACUGAAGUGCGAAAAACACUUCCAUAUUGUACGCUGAAUUUUCCAAGUCAAGUCUUGAUUCUAUAUUGUCUGCUGCAUAUGAAAUUUCCAAGUAAAGUAGCGUGUUGAUUAGAAGUCUCUGAAUCAACCAUACAUGCUGUGAAGAAAUAGUACAAGUAGGUUAUCUGAGAGCUCUGAGUUUCUUUCCUCUGUUCUCUCCCACUCUUCAAAAGCAGUGCACAUCCUCCUGAAUGCGGAUUGUUCACUUUUGAUUGUUCUGACCAAAUUGGUCCGACGAUCCAACUGGAAGAGGGAGCAUACUCGCUUGAAUUCGAAGGCACUCUAUCAUCUUCGAUUCACAGAGCUGCAGGAGCCUCAACGAUGAAGUUUUCGUCGAGAGUCUUCUUAUGAUCUCUCACUCUCUCUCUCUCUCUCUCUCUCUAAAAUUUACAAUGAAUCAAAACGUCUGUAUUCUCCUCCUCAUGAUUUUUGUCCUGUCAUCUGAAACGUCAUUGGUUUUGGCUGUGAACUUUUUCUACCAAAACUGCAGUGUGCCCAUUACUUGUGGCAGCCAAGACAUUAGGUAUCCAUUCUACAUCCAAGGCAAGCAACAACCCUUUUGUGGGUAUCCUGGUUUCGAGCUCUCCUGCCAAGGCGGAGAUGAAGACGGAGAAGCCUACCCAAUUCUCCAUUUGUCUGGUAACGAUUACAUAAUCCACAACAUCAGUUACCAAACCAGUUCUCUUCUUGUCUCAAAUGCUCUGCUUUCACACUACCUAAACAACUCUGCUUGUACUAACCUGUCGUCAAUCAACAACUUAACCCUCCCUAAUGAUCAGUUUAAUCUGGCUCCAAACCAAGAUCAAUUCUUUCUGCUCUACAACUGCAACUCUUCGUUUGUCGAUUCUUUUCCAAAGUACAAGAUUGGUUGUAAUAACACUUCGGUUCUUGCUGUGCCUCGGGAUGAAUACCCUGAAGUUGGAAAUGUCCUGCAGUCCCAAAAGUGUGGAUCGAGUGAGGUGGCGGCAGCGCAUGGUGGAGGGUACGGGAAUGUUGAGGCAGCGGGAAUGAAGGAGGUGUUGGGGAGAGGGUUUGAGAUGACGUGGAAGGCAGUCGACUGCAGCCGCUGCUAGAGUAGCGGAGGGUUAUGUGGGUUUAAUUACACCACCUACCAUUUUAGGUGCCUCUGCCACAGUACGACUCAUUCUGUGCGCUGUAUGGACGAAGAUGACGAAGGUGGAAACUUGGUGGCUAAAGUCUCCAUAGGUAAUUACAACUUUAUUGCAUUAACCCUCUUGCUUAGAUUUGUUUUCCUAAGUUUAUAUGUUGUAAUAAGGUUUAUAGCCACACGGGAUGCCUACCAUUCGAUCGAACACAUCACUAUAUUUUCAACGUAUAUUCAGCAGGUGCAGGUGCAGGUGCUGGUCUCAUAUUUCUAAUCGUUAUCGUUUGCUGCUUAAGGGGAAAGUUAUCAUCAUAUAGAUUUCUGUUCUUUUGGAAGAAGCAAAACCAAAAUCUUCAAAUUGUAGAGGCCUUUCUAAGGAGCUACGGGCCGUUACAAGUACGAAGAUAUAGCUUUUCGGAGGUCAAGAAAAUGGCCAACUCCUUCAAAGAAAAAUUAGGACAAGGAGGCUGUGGUGCUGUUUACAAAGGAAAGUUAAAGGACGGCUGUCUUGUAGCAGUGAAGGUCUUGACCAAACUAAAAGGAGAUGGAGAAGAAUUUAUGAAUGAAGUGGCAGCCAUUAGUAGAACUUCCCAUGUCAAUGUCGUCACCUUGUUAGGCUUUUGUUUUGAGGGUUCCAAAAGAGCUCUCAUCUAUGAAUUCAUGUCUAAUGGAUCUCUCGAGAAAUUCAUAUUUGAUGCAAGUACUCCCAACGUAGGUCAUGAUCACUUGGGAUGGGAAGCAUUGGAUCGAAUUUCACUCGGCAUUGCUCGAGGGUUGGAGUACUUACAUCGUGGUUGCAACACAAGAAUUUUGCAUUUAGACAUCAAGCCUCACAACAUUCUUCUCGAUGAAAACUUCACCCCAAAAAUCUCGGAUUUUGGCCUUGCCAAAAUAUGCAACAGCAAAGAUAGUAUUGUGUCGAUGUUGGGAGCAAGAGGUACAGCAGGUUACAUUGCUCCAGAAGUAUUUUCUAGAAAUUUUGGAGGGGUCUCACACAAGUCGGAUGUGUACAGCUACGGAAUGAUGCUUUCAGAGAUGAUUGGAGGAAGACGGAACAUCAAUGUUGAAGCUGAUAAUACAAGUGAAAUAUAUUUUCCGCAUUGGAUUUACCAGCGUCUUGAGCUGAACAAAGAGCUUGGUCUGCAAAGCGUUAAGAACGAGGAAGACAAAGAAAGGGCGAGGAAGAUGAUCAUAGUGAGCUUGUGGUGCAUACAAACUAAUCCUUCAAACCGGCCGGCGAUGAAGGAAGUGAUAGAUAUGUUGGAAGGGAGUGUUGAUUCGUUGCAGAUACCACCCAAGCCUUACUUGUCUUCUCCUCCAAAAUCCCCGGCAGAUUCUUCUACCACAUUGGUAUCAAUACAGUAGAAUCCCUGUAUUUUACUUGAACAAAUCUGUGUUUUUCUGAGGCAAUCUAAAUAAUGAAGUAUGCAUUUCAUUUUUGUUUUUGUUUUUUUUUUGUUUUUCUAUAGAUGAAUGAAUCAAGACACUUGUAGUGACCCUCCUACUACGCGUCCCGCAAUCAUAUAUAUAUUCAAAACAAAAUGUGUGAAACAUUUGCAUUUGUGGAUACGUUCUUCCCUCUUGCCUCGUCUCCUACUUACACCAUCAAAUCGCUAGAGAAAAUGAGUCACAUGUAAGACCCUUAAUCAUAAUCACCAAGACCAAAACAUGAACUACAACUUAGAGAAAUAUUCAACUUAUGUAUCUGAGAAACACAGGAAGAAGAACAUACCUGCACUUGUAGCAGAACCCGAAGCCAUAGCCGCAAACUUUCAGUGUACCUUCUCUUCUCUCGCAGGUUAUCAAGAGCUCGACUUAUAAAUAGGAUUAAGUCCAGAAUAUCAGCCUUUUACUGUGAGAAGAGAGGCCACUAUAUAUAUACAUAUAAUCUUUACCAUAACUGAUUAGGAUUCCCUAUCAAAAUCCAUGUAGGAAACAAAUCUUGUCUCCUUGUUCUGAUCUUCAUGCUGUACAGAAUCCCUCUUCAUAAGGGAUUAGCAUUCCUUUUAUUAUCAAGACUUUUCUAUCCAAUUGAACACAUAUAGCCGGUCCUAAAACUCCUCUAUCUCAUACUCAUAUUCUUACAUUCUCCCACUUGAGUAUGAGAACAGUUUUAAGUACUCAGCCAAGUCAAUUAUGUGCAGAUAGAAGUGAUCACUAGUCUUGUUAAUAAAAUUUCAAUCACAACCAGCUAUCAUACAUCUCAAAAUGCAGAACGCUUGUAACUGUAUUACCACAAUAAAGCAAACAGGUUUUCAAGAGUUACAGACAUUCAAUUUGUAUGCUCAACGUUGUGAACUUGAUCAAUAUCAGUAAUAAGCAAAAUAAUUUGCUCCCACUAUUUCAAAUCAUUGUCAGCAAGAUGUAAAACAAAUCUUUGCUUCAAAACAAUGCAUGAAUCAACAAUUCAUCACUAAAUGCUUUAAACGGAGAAACCAUUAUUAAAGCAACAAAUGAAUUAUAUCAAACUUUAUUUUGUUCGAAACAAUAGAUCAUCAUAACUGAUCUCAAUUCGAUAAAAUAAACAAAACAAACUAACAAACAUAAUACUAUCCAGCCAUAAGAUUUUAAAUUUGAAAUUUGAAACCUGUCUAUAUCACCACACCAGCUCUCUGAACUUCACAGCAGCGAAUAAACAGUCAUAAUAAGACUAACGAAUUACUCCCACUGAUCAAAGGAUUCAAGUAUUCCCAUCCGAGAGACAUGCGUUUUAAAUACUCCAAUCGGCAAUGCUUUAGUCAAAGGAUCCGCAAUCAUUGCAUUUGUGCUUAAGUGCUCCACCUGAAUUGCUCCUUCUCUAACCUUUUCUCGGACCUUAAGGAAUUUUACAUCCAUCAGUCUUGAAGCUGAAGUUCUCUUAUUGUUCUUGCUAAAAAAUACUGCAGAAUUGUUAUCACAAUACAUCAUGAUAGGCCUUUGCACAGAAUUUACAACUUUCAAAUCUGUCACAAAGUUUUUCAACCAUACAGCUUGUUUCAUUCCUUCAAAACAAGCUAUAAAUUCUGCCUCCAUUGUCGAUGUUGCGAUGAUAGUCUGUUUUGCACUUUUCCAGGAGACUGCACCACCACUUAGCAUAAAGAUAUAACCUCCAGUAGAUUUUCUAUCAUCUACAUCACCGGCUAAAUCAGAAUCAGUGUAGCCAACUAACUCCAAUAGCUCAUUCCUGCCAUAAACCAACAUAUAAUUCUUGGUUCUUUGCAAGUACCUCAAAACUUUCUUUGCUGCUACCCAAUGUGCCUCUCCUGGAUUUGCUUGAAACCUGCCCAACAUUCCAACUAUAAAAGCUAUGUCCGGUCUAGUGCAGAUAGUUAUAUACAUCAAACUUCCCACCAAUGAAGCAUAAGGCUUAUUCUUCAUUUUAUCUAUCUCCAUAGGCGUCUUGGGACAUUGAGCCUUUGAGAAUCUGUCUCCCUUGUUGACUGGUACUUCACCAUUACUGCAGCUUGACAUAUUGAACCUCAUGAGUACCCUUUCUAUGUAUCCCUUUUGUGAUAAACCGAGUAAAUUCCUUGAUCUAUCUCGAACAAUUUCAAUACCAAGUACAUAGUGUGCUUCACCAAGGUCUUUCAUUUCAAAAUUCUUACUGAGCAUGGUCUUAGUGUCUUUAAGCAGCUUCAUAUUAGAACUGGCAAGGAGGAUGUCAUCGACAUACAACACUAAAAAUAUAAAAUUAGUGCCUGAAAAUUUAACAUAGAUGCAAUCAUCUAAUUUGUUUUCCACAAAACCUUGCCUUGUAACUACUUGAUCAAACUUUAAGAACCAUUGUCUUGAUGCCUGUUUAAGCCCGUAGAUUGACUUGUUAAGUUUACAAACCAUGUCUUCUUUCCCCUUUUCAACAAAUCCAGGAGGUUGCUUCAUAUAAAUGUCUUCGGCCAGCUCACCAUUAAGAAAGGCAGUUUUAACAUCCAUUUGAUGCAGUUCCAAAUUGAAAUGAGCAACAAGUGCCAUUAUGACCCUCAUAGAAUCUUUGGAAGAGACGGGAGAAAAGGUGUCAUUGUAAUCCACCCCUUCCCUCUGAGUGAAUCCCUUGGCAACUAACCUUGCCUUGUACCUUUCAAUAUUGCCGUGAGCAUCUCUUUUGGUCUUAUAAACCCAUUUACACCCAAUAGCCUUGAAUUGAGGAUUGGAAUCCACUAAUGUCCAUACUUCGUUUUUGGACAUCGACUCCAAUUCCUCCUUCAUUGCACUGUGCCAUAAGGAUUGUUGAGAACUAUUCAUGGCCUGAGAAUAAGUGAGAGGGUCAUCCACAUCGCCAAAAUCAAACUCAUGCUCCUGCAAAUAAACAUAGUCAUUUGACAUUGUGGUUUUUCUGAUUCUUGAAGAUUGUCUCAAUGGUAAUGUCGGAUCAUGGAGAACUUCAGUGCUCGGAUUCAUUGGUGCAUCAUUAGUUGGAGCUGGAUCCCCUUGUUGUUGUGGUUGGGACCCAAGAUCAAUUUCCAUUCUGUCAAUAUUUUCUGGACAGUCUAAGUGUUCUUCCUCCAAUUCAAUCAUGGAAGCAGGAGUGAUCAACAUUUCUUUGUAAGAAUUACUGCAAAAAAACUUCUCAUUUUGAUCAAUCUCUUCAAAAAUGAAACUGCCCUGUGAUAAGUCUGCAAUAUCUUGAUCUUCAAAGAACCUGGCAUUGUGAGUUUCAUGAAUCCUGGUGUGAGCUUGAGGACAAUAAAACUUGAAGCCUUUAGAUUUCUCUGAGUAGCCAAUGAAGUAGCAUGAUUCUGUCCUUGAGUCCAAUUUCUUCUCAUUUGGAUUGUAAAUUCUAGCCUCAGCUUUACAUCCCCAAACAUGGAAAUGACUAAAACUGGGCUUCCUGCCAUUCCAGAUUUCAAAAGGUGUUGAUGAAACCGCUUUGCUCGGAACUCUGUUCAGUAUAUAAGUGGCUGUCUUCAAUGCUUCACCCCAUAGGAAUCCUGGUAACUUUGAUCUUGUCAUCAUGCUUCGUACCAUUCCAAUCAGAGUUCGAUUCCUCCUUUCUGAAACUCCGUUUUGCUGUGGUGUUCCUGGUGUAGUGUAUUGAGCAACAAUGCCUUGUUGUUCAAGAUAAAGCGCAAACGGACCCUUGUGUUGUCCAGCCUCACUGUACCUGCCAAAAUACUCUCCUCCUCUAUCCGAUCUAACAAUCUUAAUGGUCUUGCCUAACUGUUUUUCUACCUCAGUUUUAUAAACCUUGAAAUAAUCUAGGACAGAUGAUUUCUCACUGAUUAAAUAAGUGUAACAAAACCUUGAAAAAUCAUCAAUAAAGUUGACAAAAUAAGAAUUACCGCAAAUAGUUUUGGUUGGAAAAGGACCGCAGAUGUCAGUGUGUAUAAUCUCUAGCAAAUUCUGACUCCUUUUGGCAUCUAACUUUCUAGAAUUAGUCAUCUUCCCUUUUGCACAAUCAACACACUCAAUUGCAGUAGCAAGAUUUAAUUCAGGGAUCAACUGAGCUUUGGACAGUUUUAAAACUCUUUCUUUGGAUAUGUGGCCUAACCUCUUGUGCCAAAGGAGGAAAGAAUCAUCACUGCAGUGCAUCCUCUUAGUGCUGAUGUUUAAAACAUGUUGAUUUGGGGACUCCAAAGUACAAUUUAGACACCACAGAUUGUCACUUAAAUAUGCAGUUCCCAAAACACAAUCUAGGUGGUUCUUUUCAAAAAAUUUUAAACUUUCAUCAUCACCUAGAAAGGCAAAACCAUCUUUGACAAUUCUUGAAGCAGAGAUCAGAUUUCUCCUCAUUUUAGGCACAUAAAGCACAUCCUUUAGUUUUAGUAUAAAACCAGAAGACAAUUUUAAACACACCAUACCUAUAGCUUCUACCGCAACUUUAGUACCUUCUCCCACAAAGACAUUAUAAUUUUUUAAAACCAGUUUGUUUUGAUUUCACAAAACCCUCCAAAGAAUUUGAAAUGUGAACUGAGCAACCGGUAUCAAACCACCAAGAAUUCACAGGGAUUUCAAUCAAAUUAGACUCAACACAGACAUUGACAUUUUCUACACCCUUACUUUUAAGAUAGUCCUGAAAAACUUGACAAUCUUUUCUUAAGUGUCCUUUAGUUUUGCAGAAAAAACAUCUGAGUUUGGCAAUAUUUUUAGUUUUGACCAUAAGAUUGCUAGAUCCCUUAAUAGAGUCUUUUACUUUGGCAGAUGCAGUAGACUUAAAAGAGGUUACCUUGGUAUUGUUGUUCUUACCAGAGUGUCCAGAGAAUGAUUUGAAUGAUUUCUUCCCCUUGUCUGGUUGCACAAAAUUCACCGUUUCAGUUUCUUUCCCUCUUUCUUGCUUCUGUCUAGCCUCUUCUUGAACGCACUGUGCAAUUAGCUCAUCAACAUCCCAGUUCUUGUCUUGAGUGUUGUAAGACACCUUUAACUGACUAUAUUUGUUUGGAAGAGCUUGAAGGAUCAUGAAAACUAACUGUUUUUCACCAAUAUUAACAUCUAAAGAAUUUAAUUUCUCAGCUGCAUCAGUCAUUUUCAAGAUAUGGUCUCUGAUUGACCCUAUGCCAUCAAUCUUGUAUGUGGUCAGCAUUGCCAUAUAGUGACUGAUUUCUGCCUUUUGAGAUUCUUUGAACUUUCUUUCAAUUGCUUGUAAAUACUCAAUAGCUAGUUCAUGCUUCUUGAUUCCACCGCGAACAGUAUCAGUCAUAGCACUUUCAAGUAUAGAAAGUGCCACUUUGUUUGCUCUGACCCAUCUCUCUGCAUCAGCUUUCUCAGCCCUUGUACUUUGAUCAGUCAGAAUCGGCUUGGGAGUUUCAAGGGCUAUGUCAAAGUCAUUGAGUGUCAAUAAGAGCCCAAUCUCACGUCUCCAUUUCUUGUAGUUGCUUCCCCCUGUGAGAACAAGAAUGUUUGCCAAGUUCAUAGUCCGGAACGAUAUUGCAGAUGAUGAACCUGCAAUGAAAUCACAAUUUGAACUUAUUAGUUCCUGAUUUCAUCUCAACAUCACCUUGCACAUCAUGACUAUAAUCACAGACCCAUAUAUAUAGUCUUAAUCAACAAUCUGUUGAUAAGCAUACAUAGAGUGGAAUGAUUAAGCAAGAACUUGAAAAACGAUCCGCUGAUUUCUGCCAUAUAUCCUUAGACACCAAAUGGUUUGAUGGUGUCUCAUACAUGUAAAAGGCAUUUGAAAGUGAUCAAAGAAAGCACCGAAUGGUUAAUAAGGUCUGUAUCUCUACUUUAAAAGAUCAAAAUACAUCUGCAUAUGACUUACGUUUGCAGUCGAUGAACUGGGAAAGUAAACACAUUCAUCUUUACAUUUUACCAAAAGAUUCAAAGCAAUUAACAACAUACCUUUUAAUCUUUAUAACUCAAAUUCACGAAUCGGGCAGCGGAAGCGAUUUAGAAUUUGAAAAUAGAAGAUUUGAGUUUUGGAAAGGAAAAACCCAGAUCGAUGUUUAUGGAAGAAAGCAUUGCUUUCUUCAAUCUGGAAAACCUUCACUCGAUAAUAACUUAAUGGUUCCUUUGACGGUUCAUUAUUACCAACGCUUCUUUUAUUUCCUCCAGAACCGGACUUCGAUUCUUCGUAAGAGUAAAAAAACAUUUUUUUUUUUUUUUUUUUUAUAGUAACAUACAAAAUUUCUCCUUUACUGAUUGAAUUCAUGUUGAUAUGUCUUGUGGCUCUGAUACCACAUGUAAGACCCUUAAUCAUAAUCACCAAGACCAAAACAUGAACUACAACUUAGAGAGAAAUAUUCAACUUAUGUAUCUGAGAAACACAGGAAGAAGAACAUACCUGCACUUGUAGCAGAACCCGAAGCCAUAGCCGCAAACUUUCAGUGUACCUUCUCUUCUCUCGCAGGUUAUCAAGAGCUCGACUUAUAAAUAGGAUUAAGUCCAGAAUAUCAGCCUUUUACUGUGAGAAGAGAGGCCACUAUAUAUAUACAUAUAAUCUUUACCAUAACUGAUUAGGAUUCCCUAUCAAAAUCCAUGUAGGAAACAAAUCUUGUCUCCUUGUUCUGAUCUUCAUGCUGUACAGAAUCCCUCUUCAUAAGGGAUUAGCAUUCCUUUUAUUAUCAAGACUUUUCUAUCCAAUUGAACACAUAUAGCCGGUCCUAAAACUCCUCUAUCUCAUACUCAUAUUCUUACAUCACAAACGGCCAAAUUCGUCAUGACGUUUUACUAAAUUAAUUUCCAACGUUAGUACUAGGAGAUGCUUUUCAGCUAUGAAGCUGUUCGGUGAUCACACAAAUAAGAAGACCCGAGAGCAUGGCGGAACGCAACAUGUUUCACGACGCGACGAGUGAAAACUGAACAGUCGAUCCUUUCCGUAAUCUGUGUGGUUCAGAGGGGUUGCAAGGAUUUUUGAAUGACGAGAAUGGUUUGAAGAGUCGGGAUCAAAGUAUUUCCGGUGUUGGUCAAUGGGGAAGUUUGAGAAGGAAACUCCCCUAAUAGACCGUGGAAGUCUUCUAGUCAAGCAACAUUUUACAUGGUUAGUUCCCGCGAGUUUUCCAAUCUCCCAAAUUCCAAGUCAACUGGCGUCUUAAUAUACUGCAAACAAAGAAUUCUGAACCUCUAUACAAUUCAGCAAUCUUAUUCUGAAUUAGAGGAGGAGUAGAUCUUAUUUUUCUUCCUCUGCGGGUGUUUUCUUCUUGUUGAUCAACUCAGAAUUUUCGGAUGGCUCCGGUGGCUUCUCUCCGUUCUUGCUCACAUUGUGGUUCUGCACUCUGCUGAAUAUUCAGAUGUGGAACCCUCCAAACAUUCUCAAGCCCAAUUCUGCAGUGACAUAGCUGGCACCAUCAGAUUCCCCUUCAAAAGCAUGGGAGAUCCUCCCGGAUGCGGAUAGUUCACAGUCAAUUGUUCAGUAGCCUCUCGGCCAAAUAUCCAAUUGAAAGAGGGGGAUACUGCAUGAAUUCGAAGGUCCUUUAUUAACUACGAUUUUUAUCAAAAACAGUCUCCUUGCCGACCGCUUUAGAAAGGAUCGCUGCAAUGACGGAGUUUUCGACGACUUGAGUCUUCCCAGCGCUUCUCCAAUCCCUGACGCAGUAUUAUUCACACACACUCUGACCCUUUUCAAAUGCAACACCACCUUAGACAAAAAUUCUUAUCCACAACUCAAUGAUGGCUGCGGAAAUGCUGACCAUAUCUAACAGUAGGUUACCUAGCCCUCCGCCGCCAGUGUGCAACAUUCAGGUCCCCCAUGCGUUCGUCUCAACCCAACAAGCUCUCUUCAUCGACUGCUGAGUUUACCCUCCAAAUGGUAAAAUCAGACUGUUCUCAAUGCAGUGAAAGAAAAGGUGAAUGCCUGGUUGAAGAGGGAAAAUUUAAAUGCACCACCAGAGAAAUAGGUAUAUACAUUUACAUCACCUUUUUUUUCACUCUGACGUGCGACAAUCCGAUUCCUUCUUCAAAGGAUAUAACUCUUAGUAACAGGAAACAGUUUAUUGAAAACGCUUUUUUUUUAAAUGGUAACAUUAUUUUGCCAAUUCCAUCUUCAGUGAUUUACCUAACAGCAGUUUUCUUUGCAGUUCAUGUUGCAAGAGAUAAGCAGUUGAAAUUGAUGCUUGGACUAGGUAAGAUUGAUAUCUCUUCGUUUAAAUAUCUAAUUGAUAUGGAUACUCAUCUAGGAGCGUUAGAACCGAAGUACGGAAAUCAAUCAUUCCCAAUGCGUCUAGAUUAAUUUUCCAAGAAUAAUGGAAGCGUUUAAGUACGGUGGCAAAGUCAAUUGAUUGCUCUGCAUAACAUACCUUCAAUCAAAUUAACUCUCCCUUAACACUUGGUGCAGCUUCUGCUAUCGUCGUUCUAGUUGUUAUCUGCUGUUUCUUUUGGAAGAAGCGAAUCCAAAAACAUCGAAUUGUUGAAGCCUUUCUAAGGAGCAAUGGGCCGCUUCAAGUUCAAAGGCAUAGCUAUUCGGAGGUCAAGAACAUGACCAACUCCUUCAAAGAAAAUUAGGACAAAGAGGCUAAGGUGCUGUUUACAAAGGAAAGUUAGACGGCUGUCUUGUAGCAGUGAAAGUCUUGACCAAACUAAAAGGAUAUGGAGAAGAAUUUAUGAAUGAAGUGGCAGCCAUUAGUAGAACUUCCCGUGUCAACAUCGUCUCCUUGUUGGGCUACUGUUUUGAGGGUUCGAAGAGAGCUCUCAUCUAUGAAUUCAUGCCUAAUGGAUCGCUUGAGAAAUUCAUAUUUGAUGCAAGUACUCCCAAGAAAGAUCAUCAUCACUUGGGAUGGGAAACUGUAUAUUUAAUUUCACUCGGUAUUCCUCGAGGAUUGGAGUACUUACAUCGUGGUUGCAAAACACAAAUUUUGCAUUUCGACAUCAAGCCUCACAACAUGCUUCUCGAUGAAAACUUUACCCCAAAAAUCUCGGAUUUUGGCCUUGCCACACUAUGCAAUAGGAAAUAGAGUAUUGUGUCGAUGUUGGGAGCUAGAGGUACAACAGGUUACAUUGCUCCAGAAGUAUUUUCUAGAAACUUUGGGAAGGUCUCACACAAGUCAGAUGUGUACAGCUACGGAAUGAUGCUUUCAGAUUUGGUUGGAGGAAGAAGGAACAUCGGCGCUGAAGCUGAAAAUGCAAGUGAAAUAUAUUUUCCGCAUUGGAUUUACCAGCGUCUUGAACGAGACGAAGAGCUUGGUCUGCAGAAUGUUACGAACGAGGAAGACAAAGUAAGAGCGAGGAAGAUGAUUUUAGCGAACUUGUGGUGCAUACAAACUGAUCCUUCAAAUCGGCCAACGAUGAAGGAAGUGAUAGAUAUGUUGGAAGGGAGUGUUGAUUUGUUGCAGAUACCACCCAAGCCUUACUUGUCUUCUCCUCCAAAAUCCCCG
rnacentral:lncRNA from 1 species